UUUAGUUUUACUCUUAGAGUUUUUGUAAGGAAAUAUUGGAAACAAAUAUUGACUGUGCUUUCAUAUCGAUGCAUAUUUCUUAUGUUUGUUCAAUUAUACGAGUAUUGUAAAUUCUCUUUUUCUCACCCACACUCGUACUUAUUAAUAACAUUAUUUAUUUACAAUUGGUUUGCGUAUCCCCUUUGACACUUCAAAAGGAAAUACCUCAAUUGAUUGGCUAUUCAUAAUAAUUAAAUUGCAAUACUUUAUACUUACAUAAUUAUUUGAAUUACAUAAUAGUUAUGCGAGUUAAUUGAUUUAUUGUAAUUGUAAAUAUUUUUUUACAGUUACAAAUCACACACUUUUCAAGCUUAUUGUAAGUUGUAACAUUUGUGUUGAUAAGCAUUUUUUUAUUUUAUAUUUUAUUAAUAAAUAUAAUUAGUUUUGAGUCAGUUGAAAUUACAUACAU